AGCCAGACUGCCAGAAUGAGACAAGAAGACAGGAUCGAGAGCUCCGCAUUCGUUGUACUGCAUCAGUAGGUAUGAGAUGGUGAUGGUGAUUGUAAACAGAAAGAAGAAAUGCACUUCUACAGUUCGUGAUUUUUGGUCAUAGUGAAUCGUUUUGUUUUACAGAAAUUCAACAAGUAUCAUUACACCUACUCCGCUACAGAGAUGAUCCAGUCAAGCACCUCCAUUUUAUUACCGACCAAAACAAAAACGUCAAUUCCGGAAUGGCAUUGUAUAACUAACGACCAUUGGCAAAAAACAUCACAAUUGUGGACUAUCAAAAGUUUCAAAGAAAAUCACUGUAAAGUUGACAGAUUGCUCAAGUCGUCAAAAUUUAAUAGCACUUUAAGUCCCCAUUAUAAAUGGUACUUGACUAUUGAGACUGACAGCCGGAAUCCUGAAGAUGAAGGUUACAUCGGAUUAUUUUUGAAUCUUGAAAGAGAGGAGGUUACCUACACUGAGUUAAAUAACUUUGAGAUAUUGGUCGACAUGAAAAUGUGUUUACGAGAUGCCGAAGGAAAUGAAGCACUUGGUCGUCAAACCCAAGUAAUAUUCGAAAAAUACGAUUCUGAACACGGACUUGAAGACGUUCAACAAGGAUAUCCUUAUUUUGUUUCAAAGAAGACAUUAUUUGAUCCAGAUCCGAACAACAAAUUACUCAUCGGAGACACAUUAACAGUUUCCUGUGAAUUUGAGUUUACUCAAAUGGGUAACAACGAUCAUUUUUCGUCACAAGGGGGCAUGGAGUGAAACAUACAACUUCUGACAAUCUACCUAAAGGAUUGGAACGUUUGUUGCAAAAUCAAACUUUGGUAGAUGUAACAUUUGUAGUGGAUGGCAAGAAUUUCGGUGCUCACAAAAGUAUUUUAGCAGCUCGCAGCCCCGUUUUUGAGGCCAUGUUCAAACAUGAUAUGCAAGAAAACAGAUUGAACCAAGUUAACGUCUCGGAUAUCCGUUCCGAAGUAUUUGAAGAAUUUUUACUGCACAUGUAUACUGACAAUAGUCCAAAUCGCGAAAUGGUGACUGAGCUACUCGUACUUGCUGACAAAUAUCAAGUCGAAAGUCUAAAAGUACUCUGCGAAGAAAUUAUAUUGAAGGAAUUAUUAUCGAUAGGGAACGCGAUCGAUUUGUUAUUAUUUGCUGAUCUUCACAGGGUAGAAAGAUUGCUAACGAAAGUUGCAUUUUAUAUUAAAACAAACCCUGUCGAUCUUAUGUCAACCCAGUCGUGGAAAAAUGCCAUUUUGACACAUCCUCAUUUGUUUGAUAUUGUACAUGGAGUAUGCGAUAUCGAGUGUCGUAUUAUAUCAUCAGAGAGUAUGUUUGUUAUAAUUUAGGUAAGUCUAAGAGUAUGAGUGUUCUUACUUUGUAACAUUUUGAAUUACAAUUUGCUCAACACG